GUGGGAUCUUUUACCCUCCCUAAGAGUUACCAGGAUGUGCUUCAGAGAGCGAGGUCAGAACCAGCUUUUAUUCCAGCACUGGGUGAUUACUAAACUUGCAUUUUUAACCUGCUGCUACCCUUUGACGAUGCUGUGGAUCGUCGAAAUAGAUGUAUUUACUUUAACUGUACAAUUUCGGGCAUCUCUAUAUUUCAGCUUCCUGGUUUGUGAACUGGUUUAAUUCCUCCCGGGUUGUUGUUAGGAGUUCAGUAAAACCUUGUGAAUCGAGUGGUUAGCACCGUACCUGCCACACUGUAACAGCUUUCAAAAGGUCGCUAAAUUAUAAUUGAUAAUUUUAAGGCACAUUGAUAGUAGUUGUGGUGUUUAUAUGUUUGUCUACAGCCCUACACUGAGUUCCCUGAAGAUCUCAUUCAUCUUUGAAGAUACAGGUUGAGGUUGACAUAACACCAACCAGAGUUGGAAUCCAGCCCAACAACCCCUCUUACUUGCUGAUCCACCUUGGCAAGUUAUUUUGCUUCAGCAAGUCUUGAUGUCAUAGUAAAUGAAACAAUUUCAGUACAGCAUGUGGACAAAAGCCACUUUGUUUUAAAUCAUAAUAGUUUAUUACUUUGGAAUGAAUAGGUGUUGGUGUAGGUGAAGAUACCAGCUUUGUGCAUUUUAGCAGAACAAAAGGAGAGAAGUGACUUUAAAAAAAGUUUAAAGAAAACCGCCUUAAAAGGUAAUGUAGUAAUUAUAUUUGUGUAGAUCACAGGGCAUGUGUAAAAACCAUCCUCUCUAUAGAUUCCUCUGCCCCAAAAAGGAGAUCCAUUCAGAAGCAUUGUGAUUGUGGCCACUAACCUGAGGUCACCUGCAUGUGCCAGUGAAUGCCAGUAUGAUUUUGUUCCUUAUUUUUCAAAAUCACCAAAGCCGGAUCUCAAAACCACUAGUGUUGAAGUACCUUCUAGAUACUUAGAGGUUUCCUGUUUUGUUUUAUUUCUUGGAAUGGAAAGUACCAUAGUAGCCUUUCGCCCAAACAUGUUACUCUAUAUUUGUCUCUAUGUCUAUACUGGACCUAGAGGACCAUGUUUCAAAAUAUGAAUCCUAAACAUAUAAAUAAUAUUGAAGAGGAAGAUGUUGAAUUCAGUGCUGUGAAACCCAGCACUACUGGAAAGACCUCAAAAGAUACAUCCUUUUCAUUGAGUAUCAGUCAAAUAUGCCGUAAUUACUGUACUACAUUUAUCUUCAAGCUGAAAUUAUUUCCUUUCUUGGAUAAGUAUUAAUGCUUCCUAGGAUCUUUAUUCAACAACAUACAGAAGAGGACUUGGAAUACCAGGUGUAUGUUAAUGCUACUUUCCUUCCCUUCUUGUCCAAACCAGGUUGAGUGAAGGUAUGGGGUACUGAUUCUGGUAUUUUGUAACGGGCUAAAAUGUUUUCUUGUAAUGGUAUAUACUGCACUUACUCUGAACAGAUGAAUGGCAACUCACCAGGAAAAAUAAUCUAUCGGAUUUCAUAUAAGCGGUCACUGUUGGCAUUUAGAUAAAUAAUCUAUAGCUAGACUGAAUUUUGCGCUUCUAUUUUGUUUCAUUGUUUCCUUUCUUUGUUUUAGGUGCUGAUUGUUGGAGGUUCUUUUGGUCUUCGUGAGUUUUCACAAAUCCGCUACGAUGCUGUGAAAAUUAAAGUAAGGACUGUAAUUGGUGUUCAGCAUGUGUCUGUGUAUAUGUAUGUUCUGGUUUACAUGUGUAUAUGCAGUGUUAAACAGUCUGAGUUUUGUCUUGCUUUUCAAGGUGGCCAUAUAAUCUUUGGACUUUUCCUUAUUCUGUAAGACAACAUGAGUGAUGAUCUGGAAAUGAAUCAUGAAAUGUAAAGAAUUUAGUAAUCUUCUUCAUCAUUGGAAAAUUUACAAUACUGUAUUCUCCAAUAAAAUGGACUCUGGUGUAGUUGUUUUUAGGAUUUAGGAGGGACUGAAGAAUGUGGGACAGUUUCACUCCCAUUUUAUUACUCCAUUUCAUAUUAAUACCAGUAAUUUUAUAAAUUAUAUGGAUAUAUGAACUGAUAUACUAACAGUAAAAGAAAAUUAUUUUCAUUAUAAAUAAUAAAUUAUAUAUGUGUGUGUGUGUAUGUGUGUGUGUAUAUAUAUAUAUAUAUAUACAUAUAUAUGAAAUUUACAGGUGAGGAAGCUGAGGUUCAGAGAACUUAAGUAACUUGCCUAAGGUUACAUGACUAUUUCGAGGUAGUGUUAGGAUUCUCACCUUCUGUGAUUACACGGUUACUUAAAAAUUCAAGCCAAGUGUUACAUAAGAACCCUGGUUAAUUCUUUCAGAAGUAUGUAGUUUUUGUUUGUGGCCAUUUGUGAUAUUUGAGUUUUUUCCAAGUUAUUUAUAUAUGAUAAAUAUAUAUAACAUAUUUAAUAUUCAUAUUAUAUAUAAAUAUAAAUAUAUAUGUGUGAUGAAAUAUAUAUAUGAUUUACUACCAAUAUUACUGAGGUCUGCUAAUGAAAUAUAUAUAAUAUAUAAUAUUAAUUAAUAAUUAUCGAUAGGAAAAUAAAGAGUAAAGGCCUAUUUAGUUUUCUCAGUUAAUUUUAUGAUUUAAGAGAAACGCCAAUUCCAACUAGUCUUAAAGAUAUUAGAUAUUAGAGUAAAUAUUAAAUUUAAAAAGAAUGUGUGAUUUCUGUGGGGUAAUAGAGCAAUUAUUAACUGUAUUAAAAAGUGUCUGUUAGCAUCCUGCUUAUUUUAUUAAGGAAUUUUUUUCCCUUUCCCUUUAAGAUGAAAGUUAUAAUAAUCUGACUUUUGGAAGUGGGAUGACUAUACAUAUUUGAAAAAUAAUUGAAUAUUUGUCAUAUGUAUUUAUUAUGUGGCAGAUCCUAUAGAUAAAGAUUCAAGAAAUUAGUUCUUACAAAGCUUGUGGCAUAAUUUAGGCUGGAAGACAUCCAGUAUAAAAAUGUAGUCAGGGGCGCCUGGGUGGCUCAGUCGGUAAAGCGGCUGACUUCGGCUCGGGUCACGAUCUCGCGGUCCGUGAGUUCGAGCCCCGCGUCGGGCUCUGUGCUGACAGCUCAGAGCCUGGAGCCUGUUUCGGAUUCUGUGUCUCCCUCUCUCUGACCCUCCCCCGUUCACGCUCUGUCUCUCUCUGUCUCAAAAAUAAAUAAACGUUAAAAAAAAAUUAAAAAAAAAUGUAGUCAAACAAAUUACAUCAUUGCCCAGUAAAAUGCUAUAUUAGAGUUUUGCAUAAAACAGUACUAGAGACAUACAAUUUAGACUUGGGAAAGGGGUAUCACAGAAGGUUUGCUAGAGGCAUUAACCUUUGAAUUACGACCCUACGAAUGAGUAAGUGUUGGGUCACCUGGGCAGCUCAGUCUGACUCUUGAUUUCAGCCCAGGUCAUGAUCUCACAGUUUCUCACAGAUCUCACAGAUCUCAGAGUUUGUGGGUUGGAGCCCCAUGUGGGGCUCCACAUGCUGACAGAAUAGAGCCUGUUUGGGAUUCUCUCUUUCCCUCUCUUUCUUCCCCUCCCUUGAGCACGUGUGCGUGCUCUCUCUCUCUCUCUCAAAAUAAACUUAAAAAAAAUUGGAUGAGUGUUAGCUAAAUGUUGAAAAUGAUAUUCUAUAACACAGGAGGAGUAUUGGGCAUAUCGUCAGAUGUUCAUUUUAGAAAUCCCUCUGGCCGUGGAUGGGACAAGAUGGAUGGGGAUUGAGCAAGGUGGAAGGGGAGAGAUGAGACCUGUUAGGGUGCUUUGGCAGUAGUACACAUGGACAGUAAUGAAACUUGAAAUAAAAUAUUUGCAAUGAAGUUAGAAAUAAAUGGGUUCCAGAAAAAAAAUUUUUUAGCAGCUAAUUGAUAGUAUUUGAUGACUAAUGUGAUGUAUAUAAUAUAAAAAAAUGAGUAAGUCUUGCACAGCUUGAGGUUUUGGUUUUGUGGACUGGAUAAAUGGUGAUGCCAUUCACCGAGUUAAGGAGAGAGAAUGAGGGAGAUUGCAUUAAUAGGAGAAGUUUAGAAGAUGGGCUUAAAGUAAAGAGAAGAAAGGUGAAAUAGAAUGAAGUUCAUUGCAAUUGAGAGGACAAGGUUGGUUGAUGAGAACAAGGUUGAGAGGAUGCGGUUGGUCAAGGUCUAUGGGAGGAGGCUGAGUGGACAGAGUUCAAGUGAGAAGGAUCAGAGGACAAGACCUGAGAUUGAGAAGUCCAGGUUGGUUGAUGUUCAGAAGUCAAACUCAGAUGAAGUCAAGAGUCAGUGUUUGGGUGAGAUUGAGUUCAGACAAGAUAAAGAGGAUAAAGUGGACUGAAUGUGAGAGUGAUUAACAGGAUGAUUCAUUGAGGUUAACUGGGGUUAUUAGGGUUGAGAGACCAAGAGCAAGGGGGAGUCAAAAGGACAGAAUUGCUGAGAUUAAGGGGGGGUCAAGUCUGAGGUUGAGAGUACAAAUGCCGUUGAGAAAGACUAGGAUAAGUUCAGCUGAGAAGUGUUGAGGAGGGUGGAGAAAGACAGUAUUGAUUUGGAGUGACUGGCCAUCUUAGUUUGCCUGGAAAUGUCCUGAUUUUAGUACUGAAAGUCUGGCAUCCCAGAACACAGAAACUCCUGCUUUUCAGUCAUUGGUGAGGAAAGUGGAAAGGAAAGUACAGAAUCCAAGAGGUGGGCUAAAAAAAUGAACUGAAAGCACUAGCUUUCAAUUCUAGUGUGAAAUACAUAGGGCAUAGUUUAUCUAUGCCAUUCUUUUGUUUUUUUUUUAAAGGUUAUUUAUUUAUUUUGAGAGAGAUCGAGCGCAAAUGGGGGAGGGGCAGAGAGAAAGGGGGAUAGAGGAUCUGAAGUGGGAUCUGAAAUGGGCUCUGUGCUGACACCAGAGAGCUCAACGUAGAGAACUGGAUGCAGAGAGCCAGACGCAGAGAACCCAGACUCACGAACUGUGCGAUUUUGACCUGAGCCACCCAGACACCCCUUAUCUACGCCAUUCUUAGUGGUGGUGGUUCUUUUUUGUUCUCCUGACUCUUAAUACUAACAACCAUGGAACUACAAUAAUGGACCAUCCAUUGUUGCAUCGCUCCAAGUAGUAUGACCUAAGUGUGCAUAUAAGUGCAUUAUAAUCCUGAGUAUUAAGUCUUUCUUUUUCCUUUGAAAUAGAGCUAGUUUAAUUCUUAACAUUGUUAAUGUUGUGAUCAUGUUUUCUAAGAUUUAGAUAAUGAGAAUGAGAACAAUUACAAUACCAAUGCCAGCAUGGUCCCAACAUCACUGAAAGAGAAAGCCAAAUGACUGUGUUAUUUUUUUUAAUGUUUAUUUAUUUUUGAGAGAGAGAGCAAAAGUUGGGGAGGGGCAGAGAGAGAAGGAGACACAGAAUCCGAAGCAGGCUCCAGGCUCUGAGCUGUCAGCACAAAGCCUGACAUAGGGCUUGAACUCCACUGAACGCGAGAUCAUGACCUGAGCUGAAGUCAGACACUCAGACUGAGCCACCCACGCGCCCCUAUUCUUAAUAUUCUAACACUUUACUAUUACUCAAUUAAGAAUAGCUGUUUUUGUUUUGUUGUGGUUAUUUUUUCUUGUGUUGUUUCAGGCUGAGGACUCAUGCUUUUCUAAAUAUUACUCAGUUAAUUACUGGUCAAUUAUUUAAUUAUAUCCCUUCCUCCAUUCUCUCUGUUCUCUAAUUCUGAAAUCCCUAACAGCCCCUAUUGGGGCUUUUAGAUGUAGCUUUCACCAUAGGCCUUUUCUUUCCUUCAUCCCAAUUCUUGUGCAUUAUUCUAAUGGUAUUUCUAGUGUAUUAAUGGUCUUUUUUUUUUUUAAUUAAGUUUAUUUAUUUUGAGAAAGAGAGAGCAUGAGUGGGGGAAAAGGCAGAGAGACAGAGAGGGAGACAGAGAAUCCCAAGCAGGCUCCACCUUCAGUGUGGAGCCUGACACAGGGCUUGAUCUCAUGACCUUGGGAUCAUGACCUGAGCUGAAGUCGGACACUCAAUCAACUGAGCCACCCAGGCACCCUAGUGUAUUAAUGGUCUUAAGCUGUGUUCAGUUACUAUUCUGCUAUUCCAUUUAUUUUAAUUUGGGUUCUGUUGUUUGUUUAUCAAUUUCAGUGAUCACAUUCUUCUUUCCUCAACACUUUGCCACGCAUAGGUAACAUGGCAUCAGCUCCUGUUUACUACUGUGGACUCCUGUUGAAUUUUUUCUUCGAUGCUUCUUUAUUUCAGGUGUAUUGAAGGUCUUAUUUUUUGUUUUCAAGAGCAGCACUAUAUUUAUUAGUAUUUUUAUGUUAUUUUGUUUGUAUUUUAUGUUAUUUAUCAUUUAGGGUGGUUGUUAACAGCAUGGACUCUGGAGGCAGAGGGCCAAGUUUCAAAGCCAGUUUCUUCCUCUUCAACAAGUGAUUCGAACUCCUUGUGUCCCAUUAUCUUCACUUGUGAUCAUCAUCAUAAUAAUUAUCUCAUAAGUUUCGGUGAGGAUUACUAGAGAUAAUGUAUGUCAGAAUGCCUGGCAUAUGAAGAGUGCUGGCGAAUACAGGCUGCUGAUAAUUAUAGUAGUGGUGGUAGUACGUUAGCUGUCAUGACGCGAUCGGGUGGGAGAGAUUUUGUCACGUGUUUGUCAUCUGCCACACCACCCCAGCCAUCCCUUAUAUAACUUUUUACAUUCACAGUUGAAUGUAAGAGACUUGAACAACUUACGGCUCCUCUUUCUUUUCUACAGAUUGAUCCUGAAUUAGAAAAAAAGCUGAAAAUGAAUAAAGUGUCAUUGGAAUCAGAGUAUGAGGUACAUACGUUAAUAUGUAUUGUAUGUUAAUACAGCCUCUCUUUUGUAACCGUCUUCCCGGUCAGUGACUGAUUCGCUCUCUCUUCAGGUUAACGGAAAUGAUUACCAGUGCAGAAGAAAAUUAUUUACCUUAAACAGUAUGGUAUCGGGGCAACUAACUAUGUAGUCAUUUGGAAAGAAAAUAAGGAUGGAUCUAUAUUUCAUAUACUAUAAAUGGAUGAAUUCUAGAUGGAAUAAGAAUUUAAAAAUAAAAAAGCAAUGCUAAAAAUACUAGGAGAAAAAAAAUGGAGAUUCUUUUCUGUGGUCUUGAGUCAGAAAAGCUGAUUUAAAUGUAAUACAAAAUUCCAAAGCUUUACAGGGAAAGAUUGAUGAGUUUAUAUAUAAAAAUUCAAAAGUUCAGCCUUAAAAAAUGUAUAUAAAGUCACUGGUUAAAUGAGACAUCCUAAAACUGUUGUUUAUCUUAUCAUGAUGAAUUAAUUUAAAUAUGAAGAGCGUCUGCAGAUCAAUAUGGAAAAGUUUAACAAUUUAGGUGGGCAGUAGGAACAUGGGCAAAACGUGUAAAGACUACAGAGAAAAGGAAAUAAAUAUCAUUCUUAGACAUAUAAAGAGGUACUAAACUUACAGGAAUGUUAGUUAAAGUUAUAAUGAGGUGUCGUUUUCCACCCAUCUGAUCAGAAACCAAAGUGUUUAAUAUAGGAUGUGGUGAGGAGGGUGUGCUCCAUUUCUUGGAGUCCGUUCGUUUUUGUAACUGUGGGUCAUAUUUUCCCAUAUUUCUAUGUAUGUUUGAUCAUUUUUGCUUGAAAGGUGAACAUUAUAAAUAAUACAUUGAAGAACGUUGACUCUCAUUUUAGCAGGCCCUUCAAUUAUUGGCUGAUCAUUUUGAGCUCGGUUUUGUCUUUUUGAGGGAGGAUCUGUGGAAAGACUUUGGCGUUCCCUAAACUGCUGUAACCCUAUGAGACUCAUUCUCCAAAUUGCCUCCCCAGAGGAUCUUGUCAGAGCUUGGCCUUAAGCUCUGUUGGACUGAGUCUAAUGCGGGUCUUCCUCUUGGCAUGAUCCUUAUUUCUAAAGACUAGCUUUUGGUGCCUCAGCUGUAUGCCAAAGGAGCAACUCGGUGUUAAAGAGAGGUCCCACACCAGCAGGGCUGAAAAUCAGUAUUGACACUGCUUUCUUCUUGGUUCCGUUCCGUACUCAGUUCUGUAGCAGUUGGUUAAGUGGUAAGCCGUAAGUGGUCUUGCCCACCACGUGUACGGUGUAGUCUUCAGUGACCGUACAUGUUUUGCAGAAUUCCACAGAGACUCUUUCAUUCACCAAAGAUCUUUGAAGACUUGGAACCCUCUCGCAUGAAGUUGUUCUACCAAUUUGCAUCCCAUCGAAGAAUUAUUCUUAGUUCUCUUGAGCAUAUAUCUUACGUUACCUGGGUAGAGGCCAUUAUUCUUUCUUCAGACCUUUUUGUAACUGAAUCAUUUCAUAACUAAACUUUAAAAUAAUUUACUCUCCUGCACCUUAAAUUAGUACAAUCUUGUUCAUCCACAUAUAUUUAAUACAGACAUCCUAUAAGUGGAAUUUAGAGAGUGGUUCAGUUCUCUGCUUCCCCACUAGUUUUUCAAAGCCUAUAACUUGCUCCUUCUCGGUCUAUAAGCACUGUGUCAGUAGUGAUGGCUCUGGAGGGUUUGUCUGGGGAUAAAUUUUCCUUUACUUAUUUUGGAGAUCAUAGAAUUUGAGAACUGAAGAAACCAUGUAGACCAUUUGGUCAAGCCUUUUUAUUAUUACUUAGGAGGGAAUAGUGCCCAGACAGCUUAAAUCACUUGCCCAAGGUUAUACAGCUUCUUUUUUUUUUUUUUUAAUAUAUAUAUAUAUUUUUAACAUUUAUUUAUGUUUGAGACAGAGACAGAGCAUGAACGGGAGAGGAGCAGAGAGAGAGGGAGACACAGAAUCGGAAGCAGGCUCCANGCCAUCAGCCCAGAGCCCGACGCGGGGCUCGAACUCACGGACCGUGAGAUCGUGACCUGAGCUGAAGUCGGACGCUUAACCGACUGAGCCACGCAGGCGCCCCGCUUCUUUUUUUUUUUAAUGUUUAUUUUUGACAGAGAGAGACAGAGAGAGACAGUGUGAGUGGGGGACGGGCAGAGAGAAGGAGGGAAACACAGAAUCCAAAGCAGACUCCAGGCUCUGAGCUGUCAGCACGGAGCCUGAUGCGGGGCUCGAAAUCGUGAACUGCAAGAUCGUGACCUGAGCCAAAGUCAGAUGCUUGACUGACUGAGCCACCCAGGUGCCCCAAGGUUAUACAGCUUCUUAGUAAAAGAGAAAUGCUCCUUUUUAUUUUUGUUACAAGGGUCCAUGUAAAUUUACGUCAUUUUCCUUAUCUUUGGAUAUAAGCUAUUCUGUGUUCUGUGAGUCUCUUUUUCUAUAUUAUUUCAGCAGUAAUUCGAGAACAGAUAAAGCAGUUGUAGAAAACUUGUUGUCAGAGUGGUGUUGAAGGGUGAAGAAACCUUUAUAUUCUUCCCUUUAUCCUACCUCUGUGCUGAGAGAUACUUCACACUCACUGAAGGUACAGUGAUCCAGACUGGUUGAAACUAGGUUUUACUGACUGAAAGGGAUUGGCUCAUGGCAGCUCUGGGGAAUGUCUUUUCAUUCUCUGGCUCAGGCUCAUUUCUCAUGUGCAGGACAAAUCAUCUUGGCCUCUUUUCUUCCUUCUAGCAGGCAUUAGGGUCUCUACCUUUGUUUUUCCCCUCUUACUUACUACCAUUACCCAUCUAACCCAUGCUAGUCAUUAUUAUGUUCGUUUAACCUUCGGAGUUGGAUUUUUGUUUUCCCAGCUUCUUCCCUUUCUUUGUAUUCUCAGAAAUAAAGCAUGUAGACCCUCUAUAAUUUGAUAAUUUUAUUCUGAUGGGGGGGGGAAGAUAGUCUAAUUAACAUGACUAGCAAGCAAGAAAACUUCCAAACCCUAAGAGAUAUGCCAUUUCUUCAAUUAUUAUGCGUGAUAUGCAGUUGAUUUAUUUGCUAAAAUUGGAUUUUUUCCACUCAUUUAUUCAUUGAUGAAUCAGUAAUGUCCUAAUCAAAGCUACAUGCCUCCUACACUAAUAUAUAUGCUUUAAUUUUUGUGGCUGUAUAGAAAAUAAAGGAUUCCACUUUUGAUGACUGGAAGAAUAUUCGAGGACCCAGGCCUUGGGAAGAUCCUGACCUCCUCCAAGGACGAAAUCCAGAAAUCCUUAAGACUAAGACUAAAACAACCUAAGUGGAUUCUUUCUUUCUUUCUUUUUUUCUUUUUGACAAAAAUGCCAUCCACUGGAAUUCUUGCUACAUAUUCAGUGGGAAGAAAAUCUCAGACCUGCAGAAGCCUGGAUGCGAGCAAUGUGAUGACAGAUACUUUUGAUAAAAGUCAAAGUAACAUCACACAGUGAUUUUAUGUCAAACCUAUGUAGAAAAACAAUACUGAUCACAGGCUGAUAAGAGUUUUGGUUUUGCUUAUAAUACUACUAAUCAGUCUCCAAAGUCUUAACCUGAUGAUUGCAUUGAUACCAUUAGAACAUGUUAAGAAAAUACCUCUCCAGACUGAGAGAAAAUAUUUGUCGACCACAUAUCUGCUAAAAGACUCAUAUCUAGAAUACAUAAAGAGCUCCAAAAACUCAAUUGUAAAAAAGCAAACAAUCCAAUCAGAAAAUGGUCAAAAGUCAUAAAGUGACAUUUCUCUGAACAGGGUAUAUGAAUGGCAAACAGGCACCUGAAAAGAAUGAUUGACAUCACUAGUCAUUAGGGAAAUACAAAUUUAGACUACACUGAGAAAUCACUACACAUUUAUUAGAACAGCUAAAAUAAAAAAGGGGCAAUUCCAAAUGCUGGCAAAGAUGUGGAGAAACUAGAUCUCAAACACAUUGCUGGUAUAAUGUAAAAUGGUACAAGUGGUCUGGAAAAUUCUUUGGCAGUUUCUUUAAAAACUGCAUAGGGGACUUCAGUUUCCGGUCCAACAGAUAGCAACCUUGGAAGUCACACCUCCCAUCCUCACACAAAGGAUAAGCUGAAAAAACUGAAAAUCAACAACUAUUCUUUGAUCCAUGAGAAAAUUGAGGACACAGAACAAAACCACCACUGGAAAAUUUGAGACACGCAAAUACAGAGGAUCACAGGUUACCUGGAGGAGAAACUACCUGGAAGCCACAUCAGGUAGGAAUGCUUAAAGGGCAAUUGCCUAAUUACUGGAGACUGAGCAUGGACUAAUUUGAGUUAAAAACUCCUAGAGACCAGGCCAGGGGCACACUUUUAUGAGGUUUACUUCCUGGGGCCCCACCAGGUUCUUGCAGUGAAUAGUAGAGGAAAAUCUUGUCGUUUCAGUAGGGGGAGGAAAAAUUAACUAUUCUGAAAUAUGUCCCCUAAAUUUUGUUCUCUUUAACAAAAGCCUGGCCUCAAAGGAGAUUUUUGCUAGAGACUAAUCACACUGGAUUUUACCAGAGUCUAACCAACUCUAGGGUAAGGGAAAUACCCGACAUCAGCCCCUUCUAGCCUUCCUGUUCACCUAAAUGGGGUGAGGAUGUGGGGAGGAAGACUGAAAAGUAGUCGUGAAGGUCAUGUGGGACCACGAUGACUAGAAGACUGAGACCUAAUCAUAAGAUUAUAGAAUGUUCCCCUUCCCCUUCACAUUACCACCACAUCCCUAAAGGCUCUUCACUGGAGUUUCUUUUACCCAGUCCAACUGGAUAUCAUGUCCAACUUUCAACGAAGAAACUACAAGGCAUUCUAAAAUACAAAAGGCACAGUUUGAAAAGGCCAAGCAUUAUAAUCAGAUUCAUAUAUGGUAGGAAUAUUGGAUUUAUCAUGUCGAUACUUUAAAAUAACUAUAAUUAAGAUGUUUAGAGUUCUGAUGGAAAAAAUACACAACAUGCAAGAACAGAUGGGUACUGUAAGCAGUGAGAUGGAAGUUUUAAGAAUUAAAGGGAAAUUCUAGAAAUCAAAAACCGUGUAACAGAAAUGCCUUUGAUGGGGUCAUCAAUAGAAUAGACAUGACUAAAGAAAAAAAAAAAAAAAGAAUAGACAUGACUGAGGAAAGAGAGAGGGAAAUGAUACCAGAAAGUAAUUAAAUCCAUAAGAAAUGACAAAAGAGCACUGAUAAAGGUAAUUGGGUAAUUAUUUUUUACAAAGUACAACUACAGGGGCACCUGGGUGGCUCAGUUGCUUAAGUAUCCGACUGUUGGUUUUGGCUCAGGUCAUGAUCUCACGGUUUGUGAGUCCGAGCCCCACAUCAGACUCUGCACUGACAGCAUGGAGCCUGCUUGGGAUUCUCUCUCUUCCUUUCUCUCUGCCCCUCCCACCUCUCAAAAUAAAUAAAUAAAUAAACUUUAAAAAAAAGUACAAUUACAAUUUUUCCCCUUCUUAAUUUGUUUUAAGAACAAGUAGAACCCUUUCUAUAAAAUGUAUUUUGAGGUCUACAUAUAGAAAUGUAAUAUAUUAGACAAUAAUACAGUAAAAGAAUGGAGUGGGAAUGAAGCUUUAUUGGGGCAAGGAAAUGAUACCAGAUAACUGAAUCCACAGGAAGCAAAGAAGAGAACCAAACAUGAUAAAUAAGGCUAGCAUUUAAGUUUAUAAAUAAUUUUUUAAAACUUCUUCCAAAUACAUAGAAGAGCAUAAAUCAAUAAUUAUAACGUUUGUUGGGUUUGUGAAAUGCAUAGCUAUAAUAUGUAUAAAAAUAAUAGCACCGGGGCGCCUGGGUGGCGCAGUCGGUUAAGCGUCCGACUUCAGCCAGGUCACGAUCUCGCGGUCCGUGAGUUCGAGCCCCGCGUCGGGCUCUGGGCUGAUGGCUCAGAGCCUGGAGCCUGUUUCCGAUUCUGUGUCUCCCUCUCUCUCUGCCCCUCCCCCGUUCAUGCUCUGUCUCUCUCUGUCUCAAAAAUAAAUAAACGUUGAAAAAAAAAAUUAAAAAAAAAAUAAUAGCACCAAGAAAGUAGGGAAAGAUCAGGGUAAAUAGGAAGAAAGUUUUUAUAUCUUACUGGAAUUAAGUUAGUAUAAAUCUAAAGUAGAUUCUGGUAAGUAAUAUGUAUAUUGUAAGCCCUAGAGUAAGCUUUAAGAAAAUCACUCAAAAAUGUAGUUAAAAAUCAUAAAAGGUAUUAAAUGUUACACUAAAAUAUCUGCCCAAUACAAAAGAAACAAAUACAAAAGACAGGUAGAAAAUAGUAAAAAUAGACGAAAGGGUACUUAUCAAUUUACAUUAAUGAAAUUUUUUUUAAUGUUUAUUUUUGAGAGAGAGAGCAUGGGUGGGGGGGGAGGGGGAGGGGGGCAGAUAGAGAGGGAGACACAGAAUCCGAAGCAGGUUCCAGGCUCUGAGUUGUCAGCACAGAGCCUGAUGUGGGGCUCGAACCCACAAACCAUGAGAUCAUGACCUGAGCUGAACUUGGAUGCUUAACCGACUGAGCCAUCCAGGUGCCCCUAUCAAUUUACAUUAAGUAUAAAAUAAUUAUAUUCACAAAUUUAAAAGCAGAGAUUGACAGAAUGGAUAAAAAAACAUGAUCCAGUUGUAUGCUGUCUACAAGAGGCUCACUUUAGAUUCAGAGAAACUGUAAGUUCAGAGUAUAAGGAUGGAAAAAUGUAUACCAUGCAAAUAGUAACCAAAGAGAGCUGCUUUGGCUGUCUAAUAUCAGAAAAAGUAUACUUUGAGGCAAAAAUUAUUCCAAGAGACAAAGAAGAACAUUUUAUAAUGAUAAAUGGUCAAUAGUCAAGAUAUAAUGAUUAUAAAACAUAUAUACAACUAACAACACAUUCCAAUAAUAUAAGAAGCAAAAAUGUAGAAAAAGGCAAUUUUAUAAUUACAGUGGGAGACCUAAGUACUCCACCUUUAAUAAUGGAUAGAACAACUAGGCAGAAGACCAUCUAUCUACGUUAAUAGAAAACUUGAACAACACUGUAAACCAACUUGACCUGACAUCUAUGGAUUACCCAACGAGAGAAGAAGACAUUCUUUUCAGGUGCGCAUGAAACAUUCUCCAGGAUAAACAUUUUGCCAUAAAACAAGCCUCAAUAAAUUUAAAAGGAUUUCAAUCAUACUAAUUUCAAACAUGUUCUAGGACUGUAAGAAAUCAACUAUAGAGAAAGUUUUGGAAAUUUACAUGUAUAUGAAAAUGAAGUGUAAUUGAAUGUCCCAACUGGUUGGAGAAGAAAUCAAAACGGAAAUAAUAAAUACUUUGAGGUGAAUCCAAAUGAAGAUACAACAUACCAAAACUAUGGGAUGCUUCAAAACAGCACUUAGAUUGAAAUGUGUAGCUAUAGACACCUAUGUCAAGAAAAGAUCUCAAAUUAGUGACUUAACCUUUCACCUUAACACACUUGAAAAAGAAGAGCGAACAAAACCUAAAGCAAACAGAAAGUAAAUAAAGAUUAGAAAGAAGUAAACGGAAGAGAACAGAAACACAAUAGAGAAAUCCAUGAAACCAAAGGUUCUUUUUUUUUUAAGAGCAACAAAAUUGACAAGCCUUUAGAUUGAUUAAAAUAAAAAAAGAAACAAGACUCAAAUUAUUAAAGUCAGGAAUGUAAGGGGGACAUUACUAGCAACCUUACAGAAAUUAAAAGUUAAAAAAACUUUAAGGGAAUGCUAUAAGCAAUUCUAUGCCAAUGAGUUAGGUAAUUUAGGUUAAAUAAACAAAUUCCUAGAAAGACACAAACUACCAAAACUGAUUCAAGAAGGAAUAUAAAUCUGAAUAGACCUAUAACAAGGUACUGAAUUGGUUUUAAAAAAAAAAUACCCACAAAGAAAAACCCAGACCCGGAUGGCUUUGUUGUGAAUUCUACCAAAUAUUCAAAAGAAGAACAAAUGCCAAUUCUUUACAAACGUUUCCAAAAAAGUAGAAGAGAAUGGAACAUUUCCUAACUCAUUUUGUGAAACUAGUAUCCUGAUAAAAAUACCAGGCAAAGACAUAACGAGAAAGUUAACUGACCAAUACCUCCUGUGAAUGUAGAUGUAAAAACUCUCAACAAAAUAUGAGCACGCGAAUCCAAUAACACAGUUAUACAUCAUGAUCAAGUGAGGUUUAUCUCAGGAAUGCAAGAUUGACAACAUUAAAAAAUUAGUACAUAAUACCACAUCACUAGAAUUAAGAGUAAAAACCACAUAAUCCUAUCAAGAUGCAGAAAACCACUUGACAGAAAAUAAGCUCUUUUCUGCCACAGGGAACUAGUGAGGAACCAUAGUGAGGAACGUUACAUUCUAUGAUUUAAAUAUACAUGUAUAGUCUUGGGAAAAAUAUUUACUUGGUGGCCCUGUUUCCUCAUGUGGAAAAUGGGAAUAACAGUAGCAACAUCAUAGAGUUGAUGUGAGUUAGUUAUGUAAAGCUUAGAACAAUGGCAUAGAGAAAGUACUCGACAGAUGUUAGCUAUUAAAUAGGUAACAAUUAUUAGUAAUAACGAAGUUCUUCACAAAAUGUCACAUCUAAAACAGUAUUUUAAUAACAUUGCACAGACAUCUAUCAGUAACAGUCCUGUGUGGAAAGAUCUGCAUGAUCUAUGUCCCUUCUGCACACAGCAAAGUUCAGUGGGAAAAUACACAAACUGAUAGACUUGAACUGGAAUCUUGUCAGUUUGUCAGAUUACAAACAUGACAAACAGAUUACAAAUCUUACACAGAUUACAUAACCCACUUCAGUCUCCGUUAACUUGCCUGUGAAUUGGGAGUUUUGUAGUUGUCUCAGCCAGUUAACCUAGUGAAGUAUGUGAGGCACUCAGUAAAGAAACAGGCAGAGAAGAUAGGUGAUAAAGGAAUGGUUGGUACUAUCAUUGGCCAGUAGAUGAAAAAUGGUUUGCUUACAGAUGGUAGACAUUCUGUCUGAAGUCAUGGCUUCAAAUAAUUCAUUAAAAACUUUUUUUUUUAACUGGUUUUCUGCCUUUUGACCCUUAAACAAUGUUUAAACCUUCUAGAUGCCUCAGCAAAUGAUAGGGGGAAAGUGGACGACAGAUUUCUGCAGUGGGAUUUUUUAGACUGUGAGAGUGGAGACUAGAUUCGAGGACGACAGGGUUGAGAGGCAUGAGACGUCUGUGAUGCUCCCAUCCAGCAUCCCGGUGUGAGAAAGCCUUAGAGUCACUGCCUAACGCCAGCAGAGGGCGUGCUAAGACCACACAAGACUGAAUUUGGCGGCUCUGACUCCGUGAAGCCCAGCCCGGCGUAGGGCUGCUCUCUCUACAGGGGUCCCAUAAUCCUGAAUCCUGACUGUUCUCCCUCUGCAUUCUCCCUUUAGAUCCCGUGGGGCCAGGAGAUUCCAGGCUGGGCGAAUCGCCUCGGCCGCCUCAGCUACUUGUGUCCUCUGUGUGCAGAGUUGGCUCCCCAAGGACCUGCUGAUGCCUUCAGCGCAUCAGAACCACAUAAACCCUGCACUCCACAACCAGG
rnacentral:lncRNA from 1 species